rnacentral:rRNA from 16 species
UGGCAGCAGUCGUUGUGGAAUUCCUGGGCCGAAGAAGGUAAUAGCCCUAAAAAAAAGAAAAAUGAGUAUGGCCUGGGGCCAGAAAUAGGGGGUACCGCCCUCCUUUUAAAAUAUUGUAGAUUACCAAUAGUGAACGAGUACCGUAAGGGAAAGCUGAAAAACUACCCGUGAUUGGGAGUGAAAAGAUGCUACAACUCUAUAAAUAGCAGCCAUAUUGGUGUACCUUUUGUAUAAUGGGCUAACAAGUUAACUUGCGUAGCAAGCAUAACAAUAGGUAUGCGUAGCGAAAGCGAGUCUAAAACGGGCGUAUAGUUACGCGAGUUAUACCCGAAACCGGGUGAUCUAGCCGUGAGCAGGCUGCAGGGUGAGCUGAAGGGCCGAACCCUAGAGUGUGGCAAAACUCAGGGAAGACUUGCGGUUAGGGGUGAAAGGCCAAACAAACUCGGAGAUAGCUGGUUUUCUGCGAAAUCUAUUUAAGUAGAGCGUUAUCAAAAAAUUAUUGGGGGUAGGGCUCUGGACUCUUGAUGGGAGCGAAAGCUUUACUGAUAGUGUUUAAACUUCGAAUACCGCGAUAGCAGACAGGCUGCGGGUGAUAAGAUCCGUAGCCAAGAGGGAAACAGCCCAGACUACAGGAUAAGGUUCCUAACGAAAGUUAAGUUAAAGACGCUUACUGCAAAUACAACCCUAAUGGUGGGCUUAGAAGCAGCCAUCCAUUAAAGAUAUCGUUAAAGAUCAUGGGACUAGCUACUGAGUUGUCAAAAAUUUUGAGAUAAAACUUCGACCGAAGCCGUAGAUAGUGGUAGCAGAAUGUUCGUAAUAAUAGGAAGUUAAUUUGAAAAAAUAAAUGGAUUAUUGCGAGGUAACAAUGUUAGCAUGAGUAACUAAAGCUAAUGUAGAAACCAUUAUCACCGAAAGCCCAUGGUUUACCCAAGAAAGGAUGAUCUUCGGGGUGUGAAUCGGUUCCUAAAAGUUACUUCGAAAGAGGUACUUGAUGGCAUGCU